UACGUAGGGGGCAAGCGUUGUCCGGAAUCAUUGGGCGUAAAGCGCGCGUAGGCGGCCCGGUAAGUCCGUUUGUGAAAGUCAAAGGCUCAACCUUUGAACGCCGAUGGAUACUGCCGGGCUAGAGUCCGGAAGAGGCGAGUGGAAUUCCGUGGUGUAGCGGUGGAAUGCGCCAGAUAUCAGGAGGAACACCGGUGGCGAAGGCGGAUCUCUGGGCCAAUACUGACGGCCUGAGGAGCGAAAGCCAGGGGAGCAAACGGG
rnacentral:rRNA from 1 species